UACGAACUGUGCGAACGUUAUUCGGAAUCACUGGGCUUACAGGGUGCGUAGGCGGCCUUUCAAGUCAGGUGUGAAAUCCCCCAGCUCAACUGGGGAACUGCGCUUGAAACUGAAGGGCUCGAGUCAGCUAGAGGUACACGGAACUUCCGGUGGAGCGGUGAAAUGUGUUGAUAUCGGAAGGAACACCAGAGGCGAAAGCGGUGUACUGGGGCUGUUCUGACGCUGAGGCACGAAAGCCAGGGGAGCGAACGGG
rnacentral:rRNA from 1 species